AGCCUUAGGCAAAGAUCUAAGGUUACACCUGCCCAAUGUACAAAGUUAUUAAUGGCCGCGGUACUUUGACCGUGCUAAGGUAGCGCAAUCAAUUGGCUCUUAAAUGGGGUCAGGAAUGAAUGGAGUUUAACGUGGUUAAGCUGUCUCUUAACUAAUUAAUUGAAGUUACUAUGUAGGUGAAAAAGCCUAUUGUAAGAAAAAGGACGAGAAGACCCUUAGAGUUUUACUUAAUGUGAGAGAUACUAAAGUAUUCAUACUGGUUUUGUUGGGGCAACAUAGGAGCAAUAACUAUAAUCUCCUAAAUUAUAACACACCGAAAUUUAUAAAUCUGAAUAAACUACCUUAGGGAUAACAGCAUAAUUUAAAAAAUAAGUUUGUGACCUCGAUGUUGGACUAGGAAACUUAAAGGCUAGCCGUCUUUAAGGAAAGUUCUGUUCGAACUAUUAUUCCUACAUGAUCUGAUUUUCAAACCG
rnacentral:rRNA from 1 species